AGCAAUGGACAUACCACCCUGAAUGAGUCCAAUCUUGUCUGAUCUUAGAAGCCAAGCUGUGCCAGGCUGUUUAGUACUUUGAUGGGAGACCUGGGAAUACCAGGCACUGCAGACU
rnacentral:rRNA from 1 species